AACUCCUUGUUGGAGAAGCAGGGCACGUGCAAAUCUUCUUCAGUUCAUUCUCUCAAUGCAUAUAAGAAACUUUUGCACGUGCUCCCCUUCUCCAACACAGAUUU
rnacentral:pre_miRNA from 1 species